CUGGAUGAGCUUCAACUUACUUGUCGAGAUUUUCAAGGUCGUCUUUAUGUAAUCUCCAUAUGACACCCCAAACAUGAGCAUUAGCCGUGGGCACUAGAGUGCCCACAGGACCUCCCCAAAACUCGCGAAUGCAGUGCACGAGGUCUCGGUUUCACUUCCCGAAAUCGCUUUGUGGGUUUUAGAAAGUACCAUAAAGCAGACCGGACUCUGGAAGUUGAUGAUAGAUGCCUACGCCCGUGCAUCUGAGAGCACGUUGUUGGUCCUGCGUCUGAUCUCUCUCCGCUCGUGUCGGAUUGCCGACCCAUCGGGCUAUGAGAGUAAAUGUAUGUAUGGUUCUCGCAAAACUUCAUGGACGUUACAAAGAAAUUCCGAGCACAAGUACGUGCCCUCACCUCCUCCAUGUGGCCCAUACCCCUCCCUCACCUCCGCCACCGGCUGCUACGGUAUAUGUUACGAGCGCAAUAUGCGCGAGACGAAAUUGAUUUUCUGUUUAUACUACGGUCUUAUAAUUAAGUGGUCAAAUUGAUUUUUGUAAAACGUGACCAUAAAAAGACUACACUAUACCUAAUAUAGGUAAUCAACAUUUUAUCAUGUUCUCUCAGGAAAUGGAAUGAUAGAAGAAAAUAAAAGAAGUGCUAAGUUUAAAAUUAUUCAUUUUGUAAUCACAGUGUAAUUGUAUAUGUUAUUUAGAUAUAUUUUUUCAAUUAUAAGUUUAGAACAUCGAAAA